UGCGACAAAAAGUUUCUUAACAUGUGGUCGAUUGAAAUAUUUAAGUCUGGUUUCAAUUGACAAGAUGGUCGUUGAUUAAAGAUUUCAUUUAUUUACGAAUAUCCUUUUCUAAGCUCGUCGCACCGAAAGUCGUGUUGUUUUCCAUUCCAGCAUUACGCAGUAUCACUUGAAGUCUGUCGAUGGUUCUGACACCUUUGGCCAAUCUUCAAUAGUACUGAGCCUUAGCUUGUGGUCGAUCAAAAGGCGAAUCAUAUAGAAUCAGCAAUGCUUUCGGCUAAGUAUCUUGUCGUCUUCAUUUUGUUGUUUAGUCACUUUCAAAACGGAACGGAGAGUUGGCGUAGAAGGCGUCGUCGUCGUCGAUCAUGCACGGCGCAAGAUUGCCAAGUAAGUUCUUGGCAUUCAUGGAAUUCGUGUAGUGUUUCUAAGUGUGGACAACAAGGAUCUCAGUCUCGAUCAAGAUCAAUAACGAGCUACACGUCGUGUGGAGGAGCCUCUUGCCCAGACUUGCACGAGUCGCGGCAAUGUUAUGGAAGCACCCCAGAGAACUGUCAACUUAGUUCAUGGUCUCAGUGGAGCGCUUGUCCCGC